AUGGCGACCACCACCAACAAGAUAAUGGCGUCGUCUGUCACGGACAUCCCCGACCACCUCCUCGCGGAGAUCUUCCUCCGGCUGCCCAACCCACAAGACCUCGUCCGCGCCUCCGCCGCCUGCCCCACCUUCCGCCGAAUCUCCACCGACAGGUCAUUCCUCCGCUGCUUCCGCCGCCUCCACUCACCACCGAUUCUCGGAUUCCUCGACCGCGGCGGCUUCCACCCAGCCAUGCCGCCUCACCCGUCCGCUCCCGCCGCCCGUGCGCUCGCCGAUUUCACCUUCUCCUUCCUCCCCUCCCACCGCCGCUGGACCGUGCAGGACGUCCGCGACGGCCGCGUCCUCCUCGCCCGCAACAUCGGACAACAUGGGCAGCCCCCGGCCUUCAGAGAUCUCGCGGUGUGCGACCCCUUGCACCGCCGGUACGUCCUGCUUCCCCCUUUACCUCACGGCCUAGCCGCUUCGCUUGAGCACCCGUUCCCCCGGGUAAGCGAGGACCGCUGGAAGCGCUUCCUCGUCCCCCUCGGCGAGGACGAGGCAGCGGCUGGAGAGACAACGUUCAGAGUCAUCUUGAUGGCGCAUCGCAAAACCAGUCUGUCUGCCUUCUACUUCUCUUCCAGCACCGAUCAAUGGCAAGCCGCGUCCAAGGGUUUGAAUGAUUUGGCCCUUGGCAAGCGCGACAUGGUGGAGAUGUCAAGCGUCCAGCCUUAUAUUCACAGGCGCCAUUAUGCUUAUGGUUGUUUCUACUGGGACUGGUUGAAUUUCGGGAUGAAAAAGUUGCUCUUGCUUGACACCGCCACGAUGGAGUUCUCCACUGCUGACCUCCCGCCAGGAAAAUGGAGCAAGCAAGGUAUAGCCAUUGUGGAGGCAGGGGAAGGCAGGCUUGGGAUGUUUGGUUUCCACCGUGAAACUGCAUCCGAUCUAAGCUAUACCGUUGCAUAG
rnacentral:rRNA from 1 species